GCGGGAGGGAAGAAGGGGGCGUUACCGUUUGCGUGAGAGUGCGGCCGCUCAUUGCGAGAGAAAAUGAAGAUCUUGUUGAUGAAAAAGGACAGGUUUCAUGGAAAAGUGAAGACUGCACUGUAUCACAAAUAGAUGGAACCAACUCGUUUGUCUUUGAUCGUGUGUUCCACUCUAACAACAGUACAAAGGAAGUCUACCAAGGUGUGACUGCUUCUAUUAUCAAGUCGGCAGUUCAAGGAU